rnacentral:lncRNA from 1 species
AUGAUUAAACCAUCGAUCAAGAGCUGCUGUUUCAUUUCUCUCCCCAUAAACAGCCGCUCUCCGCAGGCCCGGCCAGAUGGGCGGAUAAUUUCCAGCAGAACUUGGAAUCUAUUGGAGUUUCUGGAAGCCUGGCUCAGAAAAAGCUGGGAAUAUCCCAGGGAUGCCCGCGCAAUCACACGGCCAAUUUGCGGCAGUAAUUACCUCGAUUCCGUGUGCGCUCCCGUUAAUUGGCGCCCCAGCUGCCGUCGGGAUGCACCGACGGCCACUUGUGCGCGGAGAGCCGCGCCGUGGGAAUCGCGCCUGCGGAUCCGGCGUGGAUCCCAAAUAUUCCGCGUAUCCCGCGUCUCCCCGGAGCCAGGAGUGCCGUGGUCAAGGUGUUUGGGGCAUCUCCAGAGGACACGGAACACUCUCGGCUGGAAGGGACCCACAGGGACCCGAGAAUUUUGGGAAGUGCCCUGGAGAGAGGGAGGAGCCCGGAGGGCGUCUGUAGGACCUGCCAACUCUUAAUUUUUCCAGUUUGGAAUAAGAGCCUCGGAACCAUCUGUUUGCUGUCAACCGAUGUUUGUUUGGAAAGGGAUUUUAUGGAUUUUUUCCAGCUCGCACUCCUGUGCUUCCACCCAGUUUACUGAGCUCCAUAAACGGUGGCUCUGGCGGGGUUUUUUUUUGGAGGGGGGAGUUUUGAUUUAGGAUUUAAUCAAAAUGGAGCCGUCAGUGUCUUUAAUCAAUGGGAAUGGAGAUCAAAACCAAAGGAAUGGCAGUGAGGGAUGAAAUAUUUAAUGGAUCCCUUUGAAAGUGCCUGGUUCCCGACCUAAUGGCUACCAGGGAUCAUUAGGACAAACUUCCCCAAAAAAUAACCUCCAAAAACCAAAAGACAGCGGUGCUUUUUAAAGAUAAAAAGGGGGAAGGCAAUUUAAGGCUUAAAAGCAGUUCCAGCCCUUUAUCCCAUUAAAUAUUAAAACCAAGCGGCUCCGGGGCUGCCGGAGCUCCCGGGAACAGGGAUCGGUGUCCAAAGAUCUCCGUGCUCAUCCCGGGCUGGGCUGUGGGGAUGGAGCGGAGCAGACCUGGAUUGGGCCAUGGGAUGGUGGUGCUGGUAUUCCCUGCUGGGAUGGGUGGAUUUAGUGUGGAAAUAAAUCAGGGAAAAGUGGGAAGUGCA